AAUUAUUUUCUAAAAAUGGGAUGGGUUCACAAAAAUUAUGGGGCGAAAAAAUACCACCCUUAAAAAAAUUUUAGUAGCUUUCUCCAAUUAAAUCCUCAUGUUGGUUAGAGAAAUUAAACAAAACUCCCUUCAUGUUUUCAUAUAGGUCUAAAUCUCCCUCUAACUGUAAUGGUGUCAAUUUUAUAUAUUAUUUUCCCAAUCUGUCCCUACUUUUAACGUUAGCCAUAAAAUUUAUAUAUUUUGAGAAUAUAAAUCAAGUAAAAUGGCUCAUAUACUAAAUCAAUUUGAUAUUGAAUUGGAGAAAAAUUAGAAACCGAAGUUAGAUAACCGACAUCCCUCACCCCUAAAUCAACUUUCUUCCCACCAAAAUUAACAAAAACAUCCAUAUUAGUCAUCUCAGCGCAGUAUCAAUGGACAUUAGCAUCGCGAUUUCAAGAUUACCACAAAUAAAUAAACUUGAACAAAAGUCUUUUUUCUUUUUUUUUUUCAAUUUUGGUUUAAAAUCACUAAACCAACAAAAUCAGAACCAUUUAGCAACGUUUCACAUACAAUAGGAUGAAAAAUAAAAAUGAAGAAACGAAUCCAUAAACCCAUGUGACGAAAACAUAACAUAACCAAACAAUUUUUAAAUAAAAAAACUCAUAUUUUUAUACUAUAAAUGAUUAAUAAAAUUAAAAAAUAAAAAAGCAAACCGACAGUCCUUUCGAAUUUUAUGUUUGCUUUCCAUGGAGAUAUUUUCUAGCGUUUGAAAAAAUAAAUAAAUUAAAAAAAAACGAAAAGGCCUUUUAGGACCAAACAAAUAAAUAUCAAUCUUCUUAAACAAAUUAUGUGAUUUUCUUUUCUUUUUUUAAAAGAAGGUGGCGCUAGAGAAAAAUGCAAAAGCCUCUAGCGCCGAUUGUUGUACUGAUUAUUUUCUUUUUCCAUAAUUUUAUGAAAGGUUUAAGAGAACAAAAUUUUAUGGCUUUAUUAUUGUAGUGGUAUUAGCUUUUUUGUUGUACUGAUUAUUUUCUUUUUCCAUAAUUUACAAUUCAGUAUUAAUUUAAUUUAAAAAUUAAGGGUGUAUAUGUAAUUAUGCUUAAUUUAUAUUUUUAAAAUAUUUAAAUUUUAGACGGGGCUAUUUAAAUCCACUAAAAUACUCACUAAACCCGACUACUUAACAAACUCAUCUUCAUAAUUUAAAACUUUAUGUUUUACUUAGCAAACCCAUUUUAAUACCUAUUAUACUCUUAUUGAACAAAAUUAUUAUAAUUUGUGCAAUUUUUUUCCACGACUUUUUCAUCCUUUCUUUAUCUUCGCAAUUAUUUAUGGAUCUUUCUCCACCAUUACAAAUGAUAAGGUUUUACUCUCAUAUUCAUUUUUUUCAUCUGUUUUUUUUUUGUCCCAUUAAUCUUUAAAUGUAUUUUUCAUAAAUUACAUUAAAUAACAAAAUCAUAAAUCACAACAAAUAAAAAAAAAAAUCUUUCUCCACCCAUUUUUUGCACUACAUUCUCACACGUGAAUAUAGAAAUCUUGACUAAAGACAUACCCAAGUAGUAAGAAAUUGGGUUAGGAAGAACUUAUUACCUAUAUGCAACUUCCUUCAAUCUUUAUUCCAGUAGCGUGAGAGAAACAAAAUUCAAAUUCUAUCAUCUUUAAGCUCAGAAGCAAGUUCAGAUCAAGCAAGCAAAGAACUUUCAUUUCUUUUACACUUUCCUUCUUUCAUUGACAAAGAAUAUCUCUUAAGUAAUUAUCCUCUCUGAUUCCAAUUAAUUCAAUACCAUUGAAUAUGAUCAUGGGCGGAUCUAGCAUGUGACCAGUG
rnacentral:lncRNA from 1 species